AUGACAAAUUGAGUUGAAAACAAAGUUGAUGCUCAUCCAAAAAUCUGCAGGUUUCAAUUAUUUGGUCCUACAACAAAUGAUAAAAUGAUAUUCCUGAUCCCAUUUUUUAUUUAUUGGACUGAUAUCCAGCUUCUCAAUGGCACAUUUCAGGAUAGUUAAUCCUAUGAUUACUUUCAUAUGCUUUUUCAGUACUCCCUCUGUUCCUAAUUUUUCAGUACUCCCUCUGUUCCUAAUUUUCAGUACUCCCUCCGUUCCUAUGAUUACGUUAAGAUUUUCGCCCUUAUUUUUCGCCAAUCAAGAUGUAGUUAAACUGAGAAGGAAUCAACUGUUAGAAUCUAAGGCCCUAGCACACACACGAACACGGUGGAUUAACACAGGAGAUUCAGUCGCUGGUUCCCAAUUCUCUCAAUUGCUCUCUACUGCGGCAGACUCUGCAGCAGCGAAGGACACACACAGGAAAUGAGACUGGUUUUUUUGCGACGCGUAACCGUGCGUCUUUUCUGCUUCCUUCUUAUUCCUCGGACUGCGCCGUCUUAGCGAACGCACCGGCAUCUCGCCACGAUCCUCAAUGCCGCGCCAUCCCACGGAUCCGGAUAGUGCCGAGCGAUCUCUAACAGAAAUCAAACGGGAAAGCUGCCCCUCGUGAACUAGCACAAGUCAGGCUUACAAGCAAAACUACCUAGCCUUAUUUCGCGUCCUACCUAAUGACAUGGCAGCACACACAACAAUCUAGAUCACAUUCUGGACGUGACACAGACACAAGUUCAUAAAGGAAAACGAACUAGCAACAAGAUUAAACUGGUAACAUCAACCACACGAGGAAAAUGUAGAUCAGUUUUGUGUUGCCAUCUUUGCCACUCGCCUUGUAUUGCGUUGUAAAAUUCUUUCAAAUUUAGAUGCCAAAUGUUCCCCCACCAAGCUUUGCCGCCAUGUCUUGCCCAAGAAAAUUUUCGGCCGCACGACUUGCCGCUGGUUUUUCCAUAUAAAAGAUCCAUAACCACCCCGAAUUAUCUCCCCCGCCCCAACACUUUCCCUGCUAAACAAGCGCCGUAGGAGACGGGAUAAUUACGAUCGAGAAGGCAAGGUCUCCAUCGCGUUCGGUUCCUCCUCUCUGCCCUGCUUGCUUCUGCUACCGAGGCUUCGAUCCAUGGCAUCUAUCUCCAAUUCCAGAAACGCCGAUGCCGACACAACCCCACGAGCUGGUACGGCCCAAACCCAUGAGGUCAAAUUUGAGGAAGAACUGAUGAUCCCAGGAGGCUUUAGGGCACCCAAGUUAGGUGAGAUAUGUACUAUAACCGUGCACUGCAUGAGAGCACCAGGACUGCCUGAACGGAUCGUCCGAGGACAAAUUGACAAGUCCGACAUAUCAUUUGAAGCCUUGAUGCAGUCCGAAUGAUGACGGCGCUGGCUGAAGAGAAGGAAAUCAUGGCUAUACUGAGAGAAGACGAACAACAUGACAAGCAUGUCCAGAUUACACCCAUUAAGCGUCCCAGGGAGGGUACGCCUGAUGUCGAUGAUGAUGCUCCUGGUUCUGAUGAACCAAUAGAUGCCUAUAAAGAUUGGCUUCUCGAGAGGGAAACACAAGAUCUACAUGAUGAAUUCAGGAGAGAAGCAAUCACAUCAUACGAAGAAUGGUUAAAGGAAGAAGGGCUUCUGGAGGAAAUUAUGGCUUACAAGACAUGUGUUCCAACUGAAGAACCUACACAAGUAGAUGGUGACGGCCAAGAGAGCAAUGAGAGCAAAGACAGCAGCACAACGCCACCGCAACAAUGGCCAAGUCAUGCUAGACACAACAAGGAUAAGGCAAAAGCUCCCAACAAACGUGGACGAGGUACGCUGAAAGGGCUAGCUGCGUCACGAAAGAGAUUGAAGAGUCGCACUCAAAAACUUUCAAUUGAAUUCUCCCCAAACCUUGGUGGUCCCUGUGGAGAUAACGCACGAACAUUCGUGGAUGAGGUGGUGACGUACACCAGGUUAGCUGCUCCACUAAUUGGAGUUAAACGCUGGAAAGAUAUACACCAAAUCGUGAAGAAUAAAAUAGUAAAUGGAUGUAAUGCGUGGAUGGGACCUGGCGAACAAAGCCGAUGCAAAGGAAAUAAUAUUGCAGAUUGCCAAAGAGCGCUACAAAGGAUGGCGAUCUUCUUUGAGUGCUACCUACAGGGCGUACAAGAAUUACGAUGACAGAAUGAGACACACGCCUGGAGACCUACACAUUCUGGAGUGGCACUAUUUGAUCCUCUACUUUGGAUCUUCAAAAUUCAAGAGGGUUAGCAGCCAAAACUCCACUAAUCAUAAACAGAUGAAGACCCAACAUGUGAUGGGUUCAAAACCUCUCUCAGUGUAGCUGGGAACAAAGAGAUGAAAAUGGUGUCAAGCCACGUCCCGUGGAACUUUGCAAAUCACUCACAGCAAGAAAGGAAAAUGGUCAAACGACGUUUCUGAAAGAAUUUACCUAAAUGCACGCGAAAAGUUGGGUGCGGCAGAUUCAGAAGAGUUGCUGGAAGGAGAAUCAAGAACGAUGAAGCUCAUAGCAGGUGAGGAAGACAUUGUUUUGCAGUCUGCAUACAAGGAGACAACAGGAACCAAAACAACCAAGUUACAUGGUCGUGGAUAUUUGUCGACCUAUCCAACCAAAAACCAACUGCUUCAAGAAAGACUGGAACUACAAGCCCGCGAGGUUGAAAUAUUAAAAGGAAAGCUUGCAAAGGAAGCUGCUGAAAGGGAAGCAGAGAAGGAAGACCUAAAAAAAUCCAUUAGAGAAGAAAUGAGGCAAGAGGUUCAUGCUUUGUUGGCUCAGCACAGGUUAUCAACACUUGUCCAGAAGAGUGCCCCUGAAACCAACAAUGCAGAACAUGAAGCUACAACCAUUCAUGAAAUAGAACAACACACACAAGAACCAUUGCCAAAGAGUACCCCUGUAACCAUUGAGGCAAGAGACCCUGCAGCUAUGAAGACAACAGAUACCUAUGAUGCAACAAAACUUGAUGCUAUAAAGAAUAAGGUUACAAAUGAUGCAACAAGACUUGAAGAAACAAAGACCAUGGAUAUAAAUGAUGCAACACAACUUGAAGCUACAAAGACUACGGAUAUAAAUGAUGCAAAGACAACAGGAACACACCCUCAGAAGCAGCCAGCAAUCACUGCCAAGACACAAAAAGAAAAUACGCCACCCACAAAUCGCAAUACUAAAUCUUUCAAAUCUAAAGGUCUGGCGUUCUCUAAGGAAGCAGCUAAGGGGCCACAUCAAACAUACAUUACUCCACAGCAUUUGGCGUUACAGCGUGCUAAAAUGCAAUCAACAAGCAAGUUCAAAGAUCAGGACAAUGAAAACCUAACGGGGCUAGAUGUUCCACAAUCACAACACUCAAGAUUGGUGAUCCCAUGAAGGCUGCCAUGUUGUUCGAUUGAAUGAGUGGACAGUAAUUGCUAGGUUCCAUAGCUUCAUAUAUACAAUGUAUUUAUUAUGGAUAUGAUCGUUAUGUCCAUGAGAUUG